AUCCACUGAAUUUAAGCAUAUUAAUAAGCUGAGUAAAAGAAACUUACCCAUAGUCCCUCCAUGACAGGCAGUGAAGAGAAAGAGCCCAGCGUCAAAUCCCCAUUCAGCAGCAGGCGUCGGAAAUGUGGCGUACAGAAGACCGACUCCCCAGUGUUGCUCAGCGGGGCUCAAGUCCUUCUGAUCGAGACUCACCCCAUGGACGGUGUUCGGCCGGUAGCUGCCUCUGGCACGCCGUGAUCGGGUCUUCUUUGAGUCAGGUUGCUUCGGACUGCAGCCCUAAGCGUGUGGUAAACUCCAUCUAAGGCUAAAUACGGGCGUGAGACCGACGGCCAACAAGCACUGUAAGGGAAAGUUGAAAAGAACUUUGAAGAGAGAGUUCAAGAUGGCAUGAAACCGUUGAGAGGUAAACUGGUGGGGUCUGUGCAGUCCACCUGCAGUAUUCAACACAGCGUAACAGUGGAUGCCCUCGUGGGGCUGCGCCCCAGGCACGCCCAGCCCCCGCGGGAUGCAUUUCCUCUGUGGCAGUGCACCGCGACCGACUGGGAAGGCCCCAGGGUAGCAGGUGGCUCUCUGCUCCAGCAGAUUGUGUUACAGCCCCCUGACAGCAGUUUUGCUGUGUCUGUGAGGCCGAGGGAGAUUGACCACCGCCGUGCCCUUCUCUGGCAACCGUUCUGGACCCUCUUUGGGGUCGCCGGGCAGCUCCUGAUGUGACUGUGGUGGACUGCCCUCAGUGCGGCUGACCACAAAGCUCUGCUAAGCGGGGAGGCCCACAAAGGACGCCAGGGGUCUGAGGUGAUGUCGGUUACCCACCCAACCUGUCUUGUAACACAACCAAGGAGUCUAACGUGUGCGUGAGUCGGAGGGCCAAACGAAACCCUGUGGUGCAAUGAAGGUGAGGGCUGGCAGGUGCCGAUUGGGGUGGGAUCCUGUCGUGGUGGGCGCACCACCGACCUCUCUCGCCCACUCGGUCAGGGAGGUGGAGCAUAAGCGUGUGUGAUAGGACCCGAAAGAUGGUGAAAUAGGCCUGGGCAAGGCAAAGCCAGAGUAAACUCUGAUGGAGGUCCGUAGCGUCUUGAUGUGCAAAUAGGUCAUCCGACCUUGGUUUAGGGGCGAAAGAUUAAUCAAAAUAUCUAGUAGCUGGUUCCCUCUGAAUUUUCCCUCAGGAUAGCUGGUGCACAGAACUCCCAGUUUUAUCUGGUAAAGCGAAUGAUUAGAUGUCUUGGGGCCGAAAUGAUCUCAACCUAUUCUCAAACUUUAAAUGGGCAAGAACCCUGGCUUGCUGGCGUUUAGCCGGACAUUGAAUGCGAGUGCACAGUGGCCCACUUUUGGUAAGCAGAACUGGCGCUGGGGGAUGAACCGAACGCCGGGUUAAGGCGCCCGAUGCCGACGCUCAUCAGACCCCAGAAAAGGUGUUGGUUGAUAUAGACAGCAGGGCGGUGGCCAUGCAAGUCGGAAUCCGCUAAGGAGUGUGUAACAACUCACCUGCUUAAUCAACUAGCCCUGAAAAUGGAUGGCGCUGGAGUGUCUGCCCCAUUCCCGGCUGGCGCUGAGAGCCACGGGGGCUAAGCCGCAACGAGUAGGAGGGCCGCUACGGUGUGCACGGAAGCCCGGAGCGAGUGCCCGGGUCGAACCACUACAGGUGGAGUUCUUGGUAGUAUUAGCAAAUAUUCAAACAAGAACUUUGAAGGCCAAAGUGGAGAAGGGUUUCACGUGAACAGCAGUUGAACAUGGGUCAGUCGGUCCUAAGAAAUGGUUGAGCGCCGUUUGGAAGGGACGGGCGACAACCUCCAUUGCGCGCAGUCGAUCGAAAGGGAGUCUGGUUCAAAUCCCUGAACCUGGAGUGGCGGAGAUGGGUGCCCUUGCAGCAUCCAGUGAGAAAACGCAAAUGAUCCCAGAGAAGCUGGUGGGAUCUCCAGGGAGAGUUCUGUUGUCUUUGUGAAGGGCUGGGUACCCUGGAAUGGGAUCAUCCCAAGAGAGUGGCCCAAGCCUUGGAAAGCAUUGCAGUUCCUGCGGUGUCCGGUGAGCUCUAGCUGGUCCUUGAAAAUCCAGGGGAGAUGGUGUAAAUCUAACGCUGGGCCGUAUCCAUAUCCGCAGCAGUUCUCCAAGGUGAACAGCCUCUGGCAUUUUGGAACAAUGUAGGUAAGGGAAGUUGGGAAGUCGGAUCUGUAACUUUGGGAAGGGCUGGGUCGGUCGGGCUGUGGUGCGAAGCGAGGCUGGUCACGUGCUAUGGCUCGUCAAGGCAUCUCCGGCCUGGGGGCUGCGCCAACUCUGGAUGUGAGCCAGGCCCUUCCUGUGGAUAGCCCCUGUGGUGGGUUCGGGGCCAGCGGUCUGCCUCGGCCAACGCCUAGCAGCUGACUUAGAACUGGUGCGGACCAGGGGAAUCCGACUGUUAAAUGAAAACAAACCACCGCGUAAGGCCCACGGUGGGUGUUGACACGAUUUCUGCCCAGUGCUCUGAAAGUCAAAGUGAAGAAAUUCAAUGAAGCGCAGGUAAACAGCAAGUGUAACUAUGACUCUCUUAAGGUAGCCAAAUGCCUCGGCAUCUAAUUAGUAAUGCGCAUGAAUGGAUGAACAAGAUUCCCACUGUCCCUAGCUACUGGCUAGCGAAACCACAACCAAGGAACGGGUUAGGCAGAAUCAGCAGGACAGAUUACCCAGUUGAUAUGCACCCUUGUCUGGCGCUGUGAAGGUGGAGGAUAAGUGGGAGGCCCUCGGGCCACCAGUGAAAUACCACUACUCAUCGUUUUUUCAAUUACCCGGUGAGAAGAAUCCAAGUGAUUUUACUGAAGGCAAAAUUAUCGCGGCUGAAAUAUCCGAAAACAAAGUGUUUGAAUGACUAAAAGUUCGAACACUUUGUUUUUGGACAUUUCAGCCCCGAUAAUUUGCGAAAACACACACACAUACAUACAACACACCCAUAACACCCCCCCAAACCCUCAGCACACCCCCACCCACAGCACCAACAUAAACAAACCCCACUUACCUUCAUCUUCACGCUGGUUCCUACAGCCCAGUUCCCUUUCACUUCCUUGAUCGGGAACCGGUGCUGCAGGGUCUUUUUUUUUUUUUUUUAAUUAAACGGACUGCUGCAGGCGGGUCCCCUGCAGCCCCCGCUCACUAUAGCAUAAAGUAUAGUGAGCGGGGGUCACCCCUGCAGCCCUGUUUUUUUUUCAAUGCUACCAGCAAAGGAUCGAACUUUUGGUGUUCGAUCCUUUGCUGGUAGCAUUU
rnacentral:rRNA from 1 species